rnacentral:rRNA from 1 species
UGGGGAAUAUUGCACAAUGGGCGCAAGCCUGAUGCAGCCAUGCCGCGUGUGUGAAGAAGGCCUUCGGGUUGUAAAGCACUUUCAGCGAGGAGGAAGGGUUCAGUGUUAAUAGCACUGUUCAUUGACGUUACUCGCAGAAGAAGCACCGGCUAACUCCGUGCCAGCAGCCGCGGUAAUACGGAGGGUGCAAGCGUUAAUCGGAAUUACUGGGCGUAAAGCGCACGCAGGCGGUUUGUUAAGUCAGAUGUGAAAUCCCCGCGCUUAACGUGGGAACUGCAUU